GAGAUCACACAUUAUUGAAUAUCUCUGCCUAUCCUUGAGUUCUAAGGAGACAGGACCUACAGUCUGGUCGAUGAAUCAUAUGCCCGCACGAUCAGAGCGUGAUUAAUGACAGAUGGUCUAUGAUCUAGAUCAUCAGCUGUGGAGGAUCGUUCUCAGCUCGUCAUCCGACGGUUGAGAUGGUCGUGCUGCUGUCUGACAGACU
rnacentral:snoRNA from 1 species